rnacentral:rRNA from 1 species
GACGAACGCUGGCGGCGUGCCUAACACAUGCAAGUCGAACGAGUGGCGGCCGGGUGAGUAAUGUCUGGGAAACUGCCUGAUGGCGGGGGAUAACUACUGGAAACGGUAGCUAAUACCGCAUACCAUAGGAUGUGCCCAGAUGGGAUUAGCUAGUUGGUGGGGUAACGGCUCACCAAGGCGACGAUCCCUAGCUGGUCUGAGAGGAUGACCAGCCACACUGGGACUGAGACACGGACCUGACUCCUACGGGAGGCAGCAGUAGGGAAUCUUCGGCAAUGGGCGAAAGUCUGACCCAGCAAGCCCGCGUGUGUGAAGAAGGCUUUCGGUUCGUAAAACACGGUUGUUAGAGAAGCGGUACCUGCCCAGGAAGCCCCGGCUAACUACGUGCCAGCCGCCGCGGUAAUAC